CAGUAAAUACAAGUGUAAAAAUUGGGUUGUUUACUUCCGGUGAUGAUUAUUUUCUUAUAUGCAAUGAAAUGUAGUGUGAAAUUUUCACUGUAUCACUGGAAAGGAUUAAACUUUACACAUGCAAAGUAUUUCUUUGGUUGAAAUAAAGUGUUAACCAUGUUCUGAAGAGCAUUCUGUUGAAAAAUCUUAUAUGUGAAUUGGUCUGCAGAUGACACUUCAGCAUUAAAACAAAAGAUAUCAAGUUUUGAUGAAAAAGGAAGGAAGGAGGAAAAAUGGACCAAAACAGACCAAAACAGACCUUCAAAUGAACUCUAAAAGGUGCAAUAAAAUUGUUUAUCAUCUUAAAGUUGUCUUUUGUAUUCUAUUUAAUUGUUUGAAUGCAUAGAUCAUGAGUUUAUGAUCAGA